UUGAUCUCCCCACUCCUAGUCUCUAACUCCGUUCAGCUCUUCGCCAACACUACUACCCAACUCGGCGUAGAAUUCGACCCCAUUGAGGAAGCCGCUCCACCGUCUCUUCACACUUCACCAUUGCGUUGCCAGCCUUCCGCUCGCUGCAACAACUUCAGAAGAUGAAGCUGCUCCUUGAGUUUGCUAACAAAUCAAAUUCGUUCGUUCCCAUACUCUGAUCUUCCUAUUCUACAUUAACUUAUUCUUAGGUGUCAGAUCCAUUGACUGCAACAACCGCGGAGUAUAGAAUUUGGUUGGGCUUCAUAGGACAGGAAUGGCUUAGAAAAUGGAGAGAAAGCUUGCAAAAAUGGAAGGAACACAAGAAAUUGAGGAGAUGACCAGCAAGAAGCGACGCGGACGCAUGGCUCACGUAUCCGCGCGAAUUGGAGAAAAUCACAGUGGCGCGAACGCGUGCCUGACGCAAGCACGUGGAUUGGAAUCUGCACGAGUAACGCGAAUGCGUGGACGACGCGCACGCGUGGAAAGGAAAAAUGCUAGAUGACGCGAACGCGUUGACGAUGUGGUUGCGUGACGUGCGCGAUCUGUAGAAUUUACAGAAAUCACUGGCGUCGAUUUUGGGCCGCAUUUUAACACAGUUUUCGGCCCAGAAACGCAUAUUAGAGUCAGGGAACAUGCAGAGACUAAGGACGAUUCUCAUUACGCAUAAUUUUAGUUUUUUAGUUUUCUAGAUCUAAUUUUACUCCUCCUCUAGGUUUUCUCUCUACACAUUCAUAGUUCUUAGAAUUUUGUUUUAUUGCUUUUUGGAUUGAGAUAUUGAGAAGAGUUACUACC